CAAUAGCGUAUAUUAAAGUUGUUGCAGUUAAAAAGCUCGUAGUUGGAUUUGUGGCGUACGGUGUGUUCCGGGCACUUGUUGUCUGAGUAACCUGCUGUUGCCAUCCUUGGGUGGAACCUGUGUGGCAUUAGGUUGUCGUGCAGGGGAUGCCCAUCAUUUACUGUGAAAAAAUUAGAGUGUUCAAAGCAGGCUUAUGCCGUUGAAUAUAUUAGCAUGGAAUAAUGAGAUAGGACUUUUUUGCUAUUUUGUUGGUUUGCGCAAGAAGGUAAUGAUUAAUAGGGACAGUUGGGGUAUUCGUAUUCCAUUGUCAGAGGUGAAAUUCUUGGAUUUUUGGAAGACGAACUACUGCGAAAGCAUUUACCAAGGAUGUUUUCAUUAA
rnacentral:rRNA from 1 species